rnacentral:rRNA from 1 species
CCUACGGGAGGCUGCAGUGAGGAAUAUUGGUCAAUGGGCGCGUGCCUGACCCAGCCAAGUCGCGUGAAGGAUGAAUGCCCUACGGGUUGUAAACUUCUUUUAUAAAGGAGUAAAGUGAGGCACGUGCGCCUUUUUGUAUGUACUUUAUGAAUAAGGAUCGGCUAACUCCGAGCCAGCAGCCGCGGUAAUACGGAGGAUCCGAGCGUUAUCCGGAUUUCUUGGGUUUAAAGGGAGCGUAGAUGGGUUGUUAAGUCAGUUGUGAAAGUUUGCGGCUCAACCGUAAAAUUGCAAGUGAUACUGGCAGUCUUGAGUACAGGUGAGGUAGGCGGAAUUCGUGGUGUAGCGGUGAAAUGCUUAGAUAUCACGAAGAACUCCGAUGGCGAAGGCAGCUUACUAAACUGCCACUGACAUUGAGGCUCGAAAGUGUGGGUAGCAAACAGGAUUAGAUACCCGAGUAGUC